rnacentral:piRNA from 1 species
UGGAGUUUGUCUUUCCUAAGUGCCGCUCGC